AUGCUGCUGCUGUUCCGAGCAGCGACUCUGGCAGCCCUUGGGGCUUUGUGUGUGUCUGGUGCAGGUCACCUGGAGCAACCUCAGGCUUCCAGUACGAAAACACGGUCAAAAACAGCCCGCCUGGAAUGCAUGGUGUCUGGAGUAACAAUUUCGGCAACAUCGAUUCACUGGUAUCAAGAAAGGCCUGAUCAAGCCAUGCAGCGCUUGGCGUACGUGUCAUCUGACAAUGCUGUCAAAAUAGAAUCAGGCAUUGUGCCGGGCAAAUUUGAGGUAGACAAGAUAUCCGAAACUUCUACAUCGACCCUCACCAUUCACAACGUAGAGGAACAAGACUCGGCCACCUACUACUGUGCCUUCUGGGAAGGCCGCAGAAUCAAAGUGUUUGGUCCUGGCACAAAGCUCAUUGUUACAGGUAAAACCCCUGGUGGAGACAUUUUCCCCAAGGCCACUAUUUUUCUUCCGUCAAUUGCUGAAACAAACCUCCAUAAGGCUGGAACACAUCUUUGUCUUCUUGAGAAUUUUUUCCCUGACGUUAUUAAAGUGUAUUGGAAAGAAAAAAAUGGCAAUACAAUUCUGGAAUCUCAGCAGGGAAAUACCAUGAAGACUAACAACACGUACAUGAAAUUGAGCUGGCUGACAGUGACUGAAAAGUCACUAGAUAAAGAACACAAAUGCAUCGUCAAACACGAGAAUAAUAAAGGAGGAGUUGAUCAAGAGAUUCUGUUUCCUGCAAUAAAGAAAGAACAGGUGAAACUAGCUGAACGACUUUUCUCAGAAGCACUGGGGCAGCAGCUCACCAGCACCUCUGUCUACUACACCUACCUGCUCCUGCUCCUCAACAGCGUGGUCUACUUUGCCUUUGCCGCCUUCUGUCUGUUUAGAAGAACAGCUGUCUGUGGUGAUGGGAAGAGUUCCUAACAGACGGUUGCAGAAAGGGGACAUCUUUUUGGCGUCAUGUAUUGUCCCUGACACAGUAGCCCACA